CCUGCCAGUAGUCAUACGCUUGUCUCAAAGAUUAAGCCAUGCAUGUCUAAGUACGAACCGUCCCACGGUGAAACUGCGAAUGGCUCAUUAAAUCGGUUAUAGUCCAGUCGAUGGUCCCUCGCUACUCGGAUAACCGUAGUAAAUCUAGAGCUAAUACGUGCGCACAAGGCCGACUGGGGACCGAGGGCGGUCCGCCGUUCCCGGCCUCCCGGAAGGUCCGUAUUUAUUAGAUACCCAAACCGACACGGGGCGUUCAGGGAAGGAGGGGGGUUCGCUCCCCUCCCUCCCGCCCCGGCUUUCGCUCGGUGAUUCACGAUAACUUCGCGAAUCGCACGGCCUCGCGCCGGCGAUGAUUCGUUCGAAUUUCCGCCCUAUCAACUUUCGAUGGUAAGGUAGAGGCUUACCAUGGUGAUCACGGGUGACGGAGAAUCGGGGUUCGAUUCCGGAGAGGGAGCCCGAGAAACGGCUACCACUUCUAAGGAAGGCAGCAGGCGCGCAAAUUACCCAAUCCCGACUCGGGGAGGUAGCGACAAUAAAUACCGAUACGGGUCCCCGACGGGGACCCGUAAUCGGAACGAGAAAGAUUCAAACCCACUAUCGAGGAACGAUUGGAGGGCAAGUCUGGUGCCAGCAGCCGCGGUAAUUCCAGCUCCAAUAGCGUAUAUUAAAGUUGUUGCAGUUAAAAAGCUCGUAGUCGAACUUCGGAACGGACGGAACCAGCCUUCUCUUCGCCUUCCCUCGCGGGAGGACGGGGAGGGGGCCCGUCGAGCGGCGCCGGUCCGCCCCUUCGGGGGCGAGCACCGGUCCGCGCGUUCCCUCCGGUCGGCGGCUCGCCCCCGCUCUUGACUGAGCCGGGGGUAUUCCCUCCCCCCCGAGGGGUUCGGGGGGCGUCCUCGGUCCGGGUCCGUCCCGGCGAGCGGCGUCCCUUCCCUCGGGGGAGGGUUUCGCGCGGGGCCGGAAGGGAGGGCGUCCCCCUCUCGGGGGAAAAGGGGUGGGGAAGGGAAAAAAAAGAGGGGGGGGGCUUCGGCCUUCCUUCUUUUUUUUUUUCCUCCCUUCUUCCCUCUCCCCCCUCGUUCUCGGUUCUCGCGGAGCUCCGACCCGUUUACCUCGAAUAAAUCAGAGUGUUCAAAGCGGGCAAGUCCAGGCCCGAAUACGUCAGCAUGGGAUAAUGGAACAGGACUCGGGUCCUAUUUUUCCGUCGGUUCGUAAGGCUCGAGUAAUGAUCGAUAGGGACGGUCGGGGGCGUUGGUAUUUAAUUGUCAGAGGUGAAAUUCUCGGAUUCAGGAAAGACCGACUUCAGCGAAAGCAUUCGCCAAGGACGUUUUCAUUGAUCAAGAACGAAAGUUAGGGGAUCGAAGACGAUCAGAUACCGUCGUAGUCUUAACCAUAAACGAUGCCGACCGGGGAUCGGGAGACGCCGCGACGAUUUGAGGGCUCUCCCGGCCCCUCGCGGGAAACCUAGAGUCUUUGGGUUCCGGGGGGAGUAUGGUCGCAAGGCUGAAACUUAAAGGAAUUGACGGAAGGGCACCACCAGGAGUGGAGCCUGCGGCUUAAUUUG
rnacentral:rRNA from 1 species